AACUUUUGACAACGGAUCACUUGGUUCCGGCAUCGAUGAAGAACGCAGCGAAAUGCGAUACGUAAUGUGAAUUGCAAAUUCAGUGAAUCAUCGAGUCUUUGAACGCACAUUGCGCCCUCUGGUAUUCCGGAGGGCAUGCCUGUCCGAGCGUCAUUGCUGCCCUCAAGCACGGCUUGUGUGUUGGGCCCCGUCCUCCGCUCCCGGGGGACGGGCCCGAAAGGCAGCGGCGGCACCGCGUCCGGUCCUCGAGCGUAUGGGGCUUUGUCACCCGCUCUGUAGGCCCGGCCGGCGCUUGCCGAUCAACCAAAUUUUUAUCCAGGUUGACCUCGGAUCAGGUAGGGAUACCCGCUGAACUUAAGCAUAUCAAUAAGCGGAGGCU
rnacentral:misc_RNA from 1 species